rnacentral:rRNA from 1 species
UACGUAGGGUGCGAGCGUUGUCCGGAAUUAUUGGGCGUAAAGAGCUUGUAGGCGGUCUGUCGCGUCUGCUGUGAAAAAUCCGGGGCUCAACCCCGGACUUGCAGUGGGUACGGGCAGACUAGAGUGUGGUAGGGGAGACUGGAAUUCCUGGUGUAGCGGUGAAAUGCGCAGAUAUCAGGAGGAACACCGAUGGCGAAGGCAGGGUCUCUG